rnacentral:RNase_P_RNA from 2 species
AGGGCAGAUUGGGCAAUCGCGGUAUUUUCAAUAUCGAGGAAGGUCCGGACUCCAUAGGGCGGGAUAACGGCUAACGGCCGUCCGGCUGCUGCCAUGCUUCGGCAAGGCGGCGUGCCGAGGAAUAGGGCCACAGAGACGAGUCUGCGGCGCGGGCGUGCUUGGCACGCACUGACACGGCCACCUCCGUGUUACGUGUUCUGGUCAGCCAGGGUGCGGCAUCGCAGGGUGAAACGCGGCAACCUCUAUCCGGAGCAACAUCAAAUAGGCAUGCGUCUGGCACUUGUGCCAACAGGGCGGUCCGUCCGAGCAUGCGGGUAGAUGGCUAGAGUGCGGUGGCAAUGCCGCACCCAGAGGAAUGAUUGCCCGCCAAGUUCGCUUGGUGUACAGAAUCCGGCCUAUAGAUCUGUCCUGCCU